AUACGUAGGGGGCAAGCGUUAUCCGGAUUUACUGGGUGUAAAGGGAGCGUAGACGGCAUGGCAAGUCUGAUGUGAAAACCCGGGGCUCAACCCCGGGAUUGCAUUGGAAACUGUCAAGCUCGAGUGCAGGAGAGGUAAGUGGAAUUCCUAGUGUAGCGGUGAAAUGCGUAGAUAUUAGGAGGAACACCAGUGGCGAAGGCGGCUUACUGGACUGUAACUGACGUUGAGGCUCGAAAGCGUGGGGAGCAAACAGGAUUAGAUACCCUGGUAGUCCACGCCGCAAACGAUGAAUACUAGGUGUUGGGAGGAACUAUCCUUUCGGUGCCGCAGCAAACGCAAUAAGUAUUCCACCUGGGGAGUACGUUCGCAAGAAUGAAACUCAAAGGAAUUGACGGGG
rnacentral:rRNA from 1 species